CGGCGGACGGGUGAGUAACGCGUGGGUAACCUACCCUGUACACACGGAUAACAUACCGAAAGGUAUGCUAAUACGGGAUAAUAUAUUUGAGAGGCAUCUCUUGAAUAUCAAAGGUGAGCCAGUACAGGAUGGACCCGCGCCUGAUUAGCUAGUUGGUAAGGUAACGGCUUACCAAGGCGACGAUCAGUAGCCGACCUGAGAGGGUGAUCGGCCACAUUGGAACUGAGACACGGUCCAA
rnacentral:rRNA from 1 species